ensembl:lncRNA
UGUUAGUGUGUGAGUAUAUAAAGGCCAGUGACUUUCCCAUUUGCAUCAAACUCGUCAAUUCAUCUAGCAUGGAUAAACAUUUGCUGUUGGUCCUGUUGUGUCUGCUCGUUACAGCUGCCUCUCCACUGGCAGCUCGUCCUCUGUCAGAGGAAGAAACUGAGCUGCAGAAGAAUAUGAGAAGCCAAAGGGAGAAACUGAGAGACUGUUUGAACACAGGAAAAUGUGGUGACAGCUUUCAGCAAAUAUUACAACAGCGACGACCAGAACCACAGCCAGAACCCCAACAUUAUGAAAGUUACCGACCAGGCGAUAUGUCUCCCAUCUUUUUCAUGAGAGAUUAAUCCCUGCACUAAUUUCAGUUUUUCAUCCAGGAGGCCACUGUUUGUGGAAACAUAUCUGUGUCCUUAUAUCAGAAACACUUUGUUUGUUGAAUAAUCUGCCAAAUAGGCUUCAUAGAUGCCUUUGCUAUAUACACAAUUUAAUAUGACUGUCGCUUUGUUGUUACAAAUGCUGAUUGAUAAGUCUGUGUCCCAAAGGGAAAGAGAUCAUACAGCUCUCUCCUGACAGACAUAUGCUGUUUAAGUCAGAGUGGCUAUUCUAUGCAGAAGGUUGGAAUUCAAUAACUUCUGUUAUCCAAAACUCCUGUUUUGUAUGGAAACAAUCCUCCAAGAAGAAUGUGAAAAGAACACUUAUUUCCUGGUCAUUGACCCUGGUGUGUACUAUCUGACUGCUACUUCUGGUCAUUUCUAAAUUGCACACGUCAAAACAUGUUUCUAUGGACAGAACUUGUCAACAUGCUUGCCAAAAAUAGCAAAGACAUGGAACAACUGUUCAAACGUGUCUGUAAAAGUAUCAAAAACAAUAGUCUUUCUGUUGACACCAGCGUCAUGGGAGAAAGUCUGGGUUAGUAGUAGCCACCAAUGGAGAGAAAGCUUGUUCUUUUUCUCAGACAGUGAUAACUAUUUACAGAUUGGAAAUUCCACAAAAUUAUUUGCAUUAUUGUAGCUACAAAAUUAAACUGCACCUGCUUCUAAGAAGAGCUGUAUCUCUUUGUUUUUAGGCCAC